UCUGCUUCCACAAAAAACCCUUCUUUGGAAUUUGAAUGGAAGUGUUGUUGUUGACGGAAGAAUCGCUGGCUGCGUACAAAAUCAUGGAGGAACAAGUAUCACAUUCCUCUUCCCUUUCUGUUUCUGCUCCUUCCUCUUCCGAGAACCUCCAUGCAAACCCUUCCGACGCCGUUAUUUUCUUCGGUCUCAGUCUUGCUCUUGGAGUCGCAUGCAGACACCUUUUACGCGGGACCAAAGUCCCCUACACCGUUGCUUUGCUCAUCCUUGGCAUUGCUCUUGGAUCAUUAGAGUAUGGUACUCAUCAUCGGCUCGGAAAAAUUGGGGAUGGAAUUCGUCUCUGGUCGGAGAUUGAUCCAGAGCUUCUGUUGGCUGUUUUUCUUCCUGCACUCCUUUUCGAGAGCGCUUUCACGAUGGAAGUUCACCAAAUUAAGAGAUGUAUUGCACAAAUGAUGUUACUAGCUGGUCCAGGUGUUGUGAUUUCGACCAUUUUUCUUGGAACUGUUUUGAAGCUUACUUUUCCAUAUAACUGGAGUUGGAAAACAUCACUGUUGCUUGGGGGACUUCUGAGUGCAACUGAUCCUGUUGCUGUUGUGGCUGUGUUGAAAGACCUGGGUGCCAGCAAAAAAUUAAGCACAAUAAUUGAUGGAGAAUCCUUGAUGAAUGAUGGGGUGGCUAUUGUGGUUUAUACCCUUUUCUAUCGGAUGGUUCUUGGAGAAACCUUCAACUGGGUUGCCAUAAUCAAAUUUCUAGUACAACUUUCACUUGGAGCUGUAGGAAUUGGCAUUGCUUUUGGGAUUGCAUCUGUUUUAUGGCUUUGGUUUAUUUUUAAUGAUACAGUGAUUGAGAUUUCUCUAACACUUGCUGUUAGCUACAUUGCCUACUACACUGCUCAAGAGAGUGCGGGUGUUUCUGGUAUUUUGACAGUGAUGUCAUUGGGAAUGUUCUAUGCUGCAUUUGCAAGGACAGCUUUUAAGCGUGAAAGUCAGCGAAGCUUACAUCACUUUUGGGAAAUGAUUGCUUAUAUCGCUAAUACAUUAAUUUUCAUUUUGAGUGGAGUUGUUAUAGCUGAAGGAAUACUUAGUGAAGACAAGGUUUUCUAUCAUGGAAAAUCAUGGGUCUUCCUCAUACUUCUCUAUGCAUAUGUUCAAGUGGCUCGAUGCAUUGCAAUUGGAGCAUUAUUUCCCUUUCUAAGAUACUUUGGAUAUGGUUUGGAUUGGAAAGAAGCUAUUAUUCUUGUCUGGUCAGGGUUACGAGGAGCAGUUUCACUGUCACUUGCACUAUCGGUUAAGCGUUCGAGUGGCAGAUCAAUUGAACUGACUCCAGAAACGGGAAUAAUGUUUGUUUUCUUCACCGGUGGAAUUGUGUUUUUAACACUUGUAGUAAAUGGUUCAACCACACAGUUCUUAUUAGACCUCCUUCGCAUGAAUAAGUUAUCAUCAGCUAAGAGACGUAUCCUUGAGUUUACAAAGUAUGAAAUGGUUAACAAAGCAUUAGAAGCCUUUCGUAAACUUGGAGAUGAUGAGGAACUCGGACCAACUGACUGGCCCACAGUGAAGAGAUAUAUUUCAUGCAUAAAUGACAUUGAAGGUGAACGUGUUCAUCCGCAUGGUGCAUCUGAAAGUGAUAGUUAUGUAGAUUCUAUGAAUUUGAAAGACAUACGAGUACGCCUUCUGAAUGGUGUCCAAGCUGCUUACUGGGAAAUGCUUGAUGAAGGGAGAAUCACCCAAACAACAGCUAAUAUCCUAAUGCUAUCAGUGGAGGAAUCAAUAGAUUUGGCUUCAUCUGAGCCCCUAUGUGACUGGAAAAGUUUAAAAGCUAAUGUUAGCAUCCCAAAUUACUACAAGUUCCUCCAGUCAAGUAUGUUCCCACCUAAAUUAGUUACAUACUUCACUGUGGAAAGGUUGGAGUCAGCAUGUUAUAUAUGUGCUGCAUUUCUCCGUGCCCACAAAAUUGCUCGACAACAAUUACACGAUUUCAUAGGUGAUAGUGGCGUUGCUUCUGCUGUCAUCAAUGAAAGCGUUGUGGAGGGAGAAGAAGCACGAAAGUUCCUAGAACAUGUUAAUUUAACAUACCCACAGGUUUUACGUGUUGUAAAGACAAGGCAAGCAACGUAUGUAGUGUUAAAUCAUUUGCUUGAAUAUGUUCAAAACCUUGAGAAAGCUGGGAUAUUGGAAAAGAAAGAGAUGCUACAUCUUCAUGAUGCAGUUCAGACUGAUUUAAAGAAAUUACUCAGAAACCCUCCUUUGGCUAAGCUGCCUAAUAUAUAUCCUAUGUUGGAUGCUCUGCCAUCUUCAGUCCGUGGACCCCUUGUAAGCGGUACAAAGGAAACAAUGAAAUUGCGUGGCUUGACCCUUUAUAAGGAAGGUGCCAAAUCGAGUGGUAUUUGGUUAAUUUCUAAUGGAGUGGUGAAGUUGGAAAGCAAGAUGAUUCAAAGCAAGCACCCAUUUUAUCCAACUUUUACUCAUGGGAGCACACUGGGUCUUUAUGAAGUGCUGUGUGGAAGAGCGUAUAUUUGUAAUGUUGUCACAGACUCGGCCGUAACCUGCCUUUUUGUUGAAGCAAGUAAAAUAAUUUCAUGUCUCAAAUCUGACCCUUCACUGGAAGGCUUCCUGUGGCAGGAAAGUGCUAUUUUCCUUUCCAAACUAUUGCUUCCCCAGAUAUUUGAGAAACUAACGGUGAAAGAUUUAAGAGCUCUCAUUGCUGAAAGAUCUGAAAUGACAAUGUAUGUCAGAGAGGAAACAAUUGAUAUCCCCUAUCAUUCAGUUGCCUUCUUACUAGAAGGAUAUGUCAAAACUCAAGGUUGUCAAGAGCUGAUAACCGCACCAGCGGCUCUGGUUCCUUCAAGUGGGAAUCGAAGCUUCCAAAAUUUGUCAGUGUCAGGUACUCAGGAAGCCAGUUUUAUUCAUCAAGGAUCGUGUUAUCUGGUUGAAACUAGAGCAAGGGUAAUUGUGCUUGACAUUGCUGCAUUUGAGACCGAUGCUGCUCUUGUUAAAAAGUCAAGUUCACGGUUAUCACAUGUCGCGGAUAAUCCUCAUAGAUCUUUCCAAAUAGAACAUAGCGGUCUUAUGAGUUGGCCUGAAAAUUUCUACAGGCAGAAUCUGCAUAAACAGAGCCCUGAACAGCAAACCAAUAGUUUGUCUGCAAGGGCAAUGCAGCUGAGCAUUUAUGGGAGCAUGGACAUCCCUCGCCCGGGUAUAGGUUUGUCAGCCAAUCGCACUAGACCAUCACAUCGAAGUUUGUCAUAUCCAACCUUUAUGCCACACGAAGCUCGUCCACUUGUUUCAGUCAAAUCAGAAGGAGCAGCAACUGACAAAAAGAAUGUUGGAGUGAAGUGGAUUACGCAAGAUGUUACAAACCUUCCUUCACAAAGCACGUAUCAUAGAGUACAUCAUGAAGAUGAUUCAAGUGACGAUUCUGCUGUUGAAGAAGAUAUUCUUGUGCGGAUUGAUUCCCCAAGCACGCUAUCUUUUCGCCAGUCUUGAGGGGAAAGAGUUAAUCUAUAAUAUAAGAAAGUUCUAUCUUUUUGAACUUUCUAUGUGGUUCUGCCAAGUGGCUUCAUGUGAGAAGAGAAUUUUAUCCUUCAACUUUGUUUCUAGAGCCUCCACAUUGCUGCUGAUUUCUCAACUUCUCUCCCUCCACCUUCCACCAAUUACUAAUAUUUACUUCCCUCAACCUUCCACUUUCCAACAAUUACACAUGCUGACUCUUUUGUUUCAACUGCUCCACUUUGGCUGAUUGCGGUUACAUAAUUUUCCCAAACAUCAUAUCAUAUGUAAGAAAACACUCCUUAUGCUAAAGUACCACACCAAUUAGUCAGUAGGAAAAAGAAAAUUUACCGAUGGGAAAAACGAUGGUGGAAACGCAACAGUGGGGUAGAGGUCCUCAGUAAUGGCCGAAAGUUGAUGGCGACAGGAGGAGGCUUCGUCGGCGUUGUUGUGUCGGAUGAAAAUCGGAGGGACAACAAAGACAACUGAAGUUAGAGCAUCCUCAUUAUAGCAUAGCAUGUUAUAUAAUAUGAAAUUACACGAUCAUGGCAAUGGCAGGGAAGUUGUUUAAGUGAGGCUGAGAAAUUGUUGUCUACAACCUUUGGGUCUGAAUCUGGUGUCAAUGCUAUCUUUACUAAUGGAAGGGAAAUCUUAAUAAUACUCUGGGACUUAUGAAAAAGAACUGUUGAUCAACUCUGAGUGGAUUUCACUACUGCUGCAGAAGUAAAUACCUUCAAGGAAAAUGUAGUGUGACUGGUAAAGUCUCUAGCAAACUAAUAUUAUUGCAAAGUGGUGGUUAUUUUCUAUUGGUUAUGAUAUUCAUAUUUGUUGAAGAAGAAGAUGUCGAAAGAGAAGAUUCAAACGCCUUACAUAAUAAUGGUGAUCAGCAACUGGUUUAAACCAAUUGGUGAUGGUGUUGUUGGUUUGUCGAAUCAUGGAGGUGGAACCGGUAUCAGUUCGUUCAUGCAACAAGGGAGUAAUAGUUAUGAGUUGAACUUUCCCUGGGAAGAAGCCCUUCUUGUGGCCAUCACAGAACUGAGACAGAGGGGUAUAUUGGAUAUUUGAGUAGGGAUUCAAUUGUUAGGGCGCUCCGGCUGCUUCUUCGAUGAAUCGAGACAGUGCUUCUGAUUCCUCUCCAUUCUAUUGCACGGGUUGUGCCUCACAGAGACUUUGGGUGAGAUGAUUGAGAAUGAAACUCUUUGUCCCAAACUAGCGAUUCAGCUUCUCCUUCAGUUCUCCAUCGUGUUCAUGUAUGUUUCGAUGCUGAAAAUAGUUCGAUCUGUGUAUGUUUAGUUUCCUGUUUAUAAUUUUUCACUGAUUCAAAAUUGAGUCCUUUUUCUACCUUG